AAUACUGCAGUGAACAUGGUUGUGUUGGUAGCUUUAGUAUGGUGUUGUUUGUGAUUCUUAUAUGCAGAAGAGGGAUUGCUGGGUCAUAGGGGAGCUCUGUUUAUUGGCUUAUUUUCUUUGUAUAGAUAUACUUUAAUACCUUUUAAAAAUCACUGUCAGCUUUCCUCUAUCUCCACUGCUACUACCCGAGUUCUGAUAGUCUCUCUUCCUGUUACUGUAAUUCUCUCCUAGUGAUCCCUCAGUCCUAUUCCUAUUCAUUCUAAUGCCUCUGAAUUUUGUUUAGGAGAUUGGGGCUUUGCUAUGUUCUUCUUCAACAUCUGGGAUGUUCCCAGGUGGUCCUCUUGUGUGAGCCUUCUUAGUAGUUAGAUGUGACUACAGGUAUCCAUAACUAUAUUGGCUUCCUUCAUUUUGAGGACAGAAUAAUGUUACUGAGGUGCAUAUCUCUAGUUGAUAUUUCAUGGGUAAGUUGGGAGUUUGUGAGAAAGAGUGCAACUUGCUUGAGGAGAGGGGUUAGCUUUUGCAGACUC